rnacentral:rRNA from 1 species
CCCUUAGAUGUCCUGGGCCGCACGCGCGCUACACUGAGUGUCUGAGAUACGAGUCUGCCUGGUCCGGCAAGGUCUAGGUAAUCGCUAAAAGACACAUCAUGCUUGGGAUAGAUUAUUGCAAAUAUUAAUCUUGAACGAGGAAUUCCUAGUAAGCGCAAGUCAACAGCUUGUGUUGAUUACGUCCCUGCCCUUUGUACACACCGCCCGUCGCUACUACUGAUUGGAUGUUUAAGCGAGGUUCUCGAACUGCUAGCGACUUAGCUUCGGUGAGGUCGCAGUGUGGGAAGUGAACCUAGCUUUGGUGUCUAGAGGAAGUAAAAGUCGUAACA